GCUCAAGUGAUUCACCGAAGUGACGAGACCUUGAAAGCAUUUUCAAGUGCCAGUAGUGGGAAAUUCUGUCAAACAGGGAAGGUUUUCGGUGACAACACCUAGAGAUAUCAGAAGUGAGAAUGUUGACAUGAGUAACAAGAAAUCCUAUGAAAAACACGAUCACCUGUUAGUUCAAGGCUUUUUGCAUUUAGCCAAUCUAUGCGGAGUGAAUCGGUCCCUAAGGAAGCCCCGAAAAGGCUGCUGUCCGAUGGGUACACGAGAGUGAUGAAGUUGCUUUGACUGCUGAAUCAUGCAUAUCUGUUGGAGCCAAUUGGAUGAUCGGGCCGAGGGCUGCCCCCUCUUCCCCUCACUCUCCUUUCCCUAAGAUGAACCUUGAGUCAGCAAAGCCUUCUUGACGCGGACGUGCCUGGACCCCUAAGCUACUGGCGCUUCAAAAGGUGAAACUCUUGUCAUAGUUUGACGACCUAAGAACAAAGAAGUCAGCUGUUCAGGUAGUGGCAUGGCAAGCAAGGAGCAAAGCCAGUAGUAGCAAUGUCAAAUCACUCAUUGUUGAGGGUGGGUUUUCUUUUAGAAAAAGCGAUUGUUGAAGAAACGAAGAAAACUAUACUAAGCAACCAAGCAACGAGAAAGUGCGCUAGCACAUCCGUUUUCUUACUGCGAAGUAGCGCAUACGUUUUCUUACUGAGAAAAAAACAAACCAACAAAUGCAAGCAAGAAAAUGGAUUCGCGGAGCGUUAGCGCCCUUGCUUCUUGAAAGAAAACGGAUGCACUAGCCGCGCGGCCCAUUAGCGCCCUUGCUUCUUGCUUUUGAGCCUACGCUUGCUGGUUUUUUUCACUUGCAAAGCACUCGCUCGUUAGAGCGAGUGCUUUGCUGUUGCUUUGCACUCGGUCCAAGCUUUUGGGCAAAAGAAAAAAGGGCUCUUGACUACUUGGGCUUUGACAAGACUUAGCUAACCUAACGACUGAACUCGCGCAGCAAAAAGGGCUCUUUACUACGUACUUGGUUUGGUUGGGCUUUGACGUUGAGCUAACAACUGAACUCACUGGGGCUUUGCUCAUUGCAUCAAAGCAGCACUCUAUUGGGUAGCAGCAAAAAGCCCUCAAGAGGGCUUUGAAAAGACUUAGCUAACGACUCAACUCACUAGGGCUCGUUGGCUACAAAGCAAAUCGCUUAUGAGGGCUUUGCAAAAAGCAAAGCUCUUGUUUGAGAGUGCCCAGCAAAGCACUCAUAAGCGAUUUGCUUUUUGACAUCAAACGCCUUGCCAAUAGUUUGACCUUGCUACAUGGAGUAGACUGAAUGAGCUAGGCAGACACUUUGAGUUAUCUAAAGCGAAGAGAGACGAAGACUCAGCCCAACAGGCUCUCUUUCCCAUAGAUGAGCUCCGGCUCCGUGCACCUGCUGACACCUUUAUAAGCACUUUCUAGUGUGAACCCUUCGGACGCCUUUCUCAUUUCAGUGCUCUCCUUUUGAAUCUUCAGUAGGGGCCUUUAGUCUUAAAAUAGGGGUCACGAGAGAACCAUGUCGAAGGAACUUGAAAAAAUGACCCCGUAACUUAGGGAUAAGGGGUACUCUCCUAUCUUUUGAUUAGGAGGGCGGCACAUACCAUGGGGUAGCGACUAUUUAUUAAAAACACAGGACUCUGCUUAGUGGUAACACUAUGUAUAGAGUCUGACACCUGCCUAGUGCUGGAAGGUAGGAAGGCAAUGUCUUAUAAGCUUUGAAUGGAAGCCCCGAUAAUGGCAACAGUAAAUCUAACUAUCCUAAGGUAGCAAAAUUCCUUGUUGCAUAAGUAGCGAUCUGCACGAAUGGUGUAACGACUGCCUCGCUGUCUCCGACAUGGACCCAAUGAAAUUGAAUUGUCCAUGAAGAUGUGGAGUACCAACAGCUAGACGGUAAGACCCCAUGCACCUUGAUUGAAUGUGUAGGAUAGGUGGGAGGUGGUGACACAAAUCUCCCAAUCCUAAAAGACCACUCGUUCGUCUAAGGAUACCUAACCGCCACACUGAUCAUUUGGGGGAGGGGGGGGGGGGGGGGACAUUAUGAGGUGGGUAGUUUAUCUAGGGCAGAUGCCUCCUAAAGAGUAACGGAGGUGUGCGAUGGUAGGCUCAAGCUAAGAUUAUGCUCGUGAGCAUAAUGGUAUAAGCGUGCCUGACUGUGAGACUGACUGGUUGAACAGAGACGAAAGCUGGCCAUAGCGAUCCGGGAGUCUCGUGUGGAAGGGCUCUCACUCAACGGAUCAAAGGUACGCUGGGGAUAACAGGCUGAUGACUCCUAAGAGCUCUUAUCGACGGAGUCGUUUGGCACCUCAAUGCCGACUCAUCACAUCUUGGGGUUGAAGAAGGUCCCAAUGGUUCGGUUGUUCGCCGAUUAAAGUGUUACAUGAGUUGGGUUUAGAACGUCAUGAGACAGUUCGGUUCCUAUCUACCAUUGGUGUUAAAGGGAGGACUACAAGGAGCCAAACCUAGUACGAGAGGAUUGGGUUGGGCCAACCUAUGGUGUACCGGUUGUUAUGCCAAUAGCAGCGCCUGGCAGCUAAGUUGGUAUGGAAGAACUGCUGCACCACAUCUGAGCAGAGCUAUAGGCUCACUCUCAAAGCAACAAGAGGAUUUUACGAUAGUUUAGUCACUCGUUGUCUUAAACGUUGGAAAUCAUUCUCUAUACAAGUUCUUGUACAAGGUUUUUUAACAGAACUUCGAUAGGCGAGAGGUG
rnacentral:rRNA from 1 species